rnacentral:rRNA from 1 species
AGAGUUUGAUCCUGGCUCAGGAUGAACGCUAGCUACAGGCUUAACACAUGCAAGUCGAGCGGUUUGUGCUUUUGCACAUUCAGCGGCAGACGGGUGAGUAACACGUAUCUAACCUUUCCCCUUACUUGGGCAUAGCCUCUGGAAACGGAGAUUAAUAUCUGAUGUGGUGUACAUUUCGCAUGUUUUGCGCACCAAAGAUUUAUCGGUAAGGGAUGGGGAUGCGCUCCAUUAGGUUGUAGGUAGGGUAAUGGCCUACCUAGCCUAUGAUGGAUAGGGGUUCUGAGAGGAAGGUCCCCCACAUUGGAACUGCGACACGGUCCAAACUCCUACGGGAGGCAGCAGUGAGGAAUAUUGGUCAAUGGCCGGAAGGCUGAACCAGCCAAGUAGCGUGCAGGAUGACUGCCUUAUGGGUUGUAAACUGCUUUUUUACGGGAAUAAUUAUGAUCACGUGUGAUUAUUUGCAUGUACCGUAAGAAUAAGGAUCGGCUAAUUCCGUGCCAGCAGCCGCGGUAAUACGGAGGAUCCUAGUGUUUUCCGGAUUUAUUGGGUUUAAAGGGAGCGUAGGCGGGAGGUCAAGUCAGCUGUGAAAUGUAUAUGCUUAACGGGUACACUGCAGUUGAAACUGGUUUUCUUGAGUGCGUAAGAGGCAGGCGGAAUUCGUUGUGUAGCGGUGAAAUGCUUAGAUAUGACGAGGAACUCCUAUUGCGAAGGCAGCACGCUGGGUCGUUACUGACGCUGAUGCUCGAAGGUGCGGGGAUCAAACAGGAUUAGAUACCCUGGUAGUCCACGCUGUAAACGAUGAUAGCUAGGUGUUGGGGGUCGAACCUCAGUGCCCCAGUAAACGCAUUAAGCACUCCGCCUGGGGAGUACGGUCGCAAGACUGAAACUCAAAUGAAUUGACGG